AGGACGAACGCUGGCGGCGUGCCUAACACAUGCAAGUCAAGGCGGUAGCAAUACCGACUGGCGCACGGGUGCGGAACACGUAGGCAAUCUGCCCAUCAGGGGGAGAACAACUCACCGAAAGGUGAGCUAAAUCUCCGUAACAUCUUAUCAUGGCAUCAUGAUUUGAUCAAGCUUUCUGAUGGAUGAGCCUGCGUCUGAUUAGCUAGUUGGUAGUGUAACGGACUACCAAGGCUACGAUCAGUAGCUGGUCU
rnacentral:rRNA from 1 species